AGAGUUUGAUCCUGGCUCAGAACGAACGCUGGCGGCAGGCUUAAGACAUGCAAGUCGAACGCACCCUUCGGGAGCGAGUAAAGUGGCGGACGGGUGAGUAACGCGUGGGAAUCUGCCUAGUAGUUGGGGACAACUCGGGGAAACUCGAGCUAAUACCGAAUACGCCCUACGGGGGAAAGGCUUCGGCCGCUAUUAGAUGAGCCCGCGUAAGAUUAGCUUGUUGGUGGGGUAAUGGCCUACCAAGGCAACGAUCUUUAGCUGGUCUGAGAGGACGAUCAGCCACACUGGGACUGAGACACGGCCCAGACUCCUACGGGAGGCAGCAGUGGGGAAUAUUGGACAAUGGGGGAAACCCUGAUCCAGCAAUGCCGCGUGUGUGAAGAAGGCCUGCGGGUUGUAAAGCACUUUCAGUAGGGAAGAUAAUGACGGUACCUACAAAAGAAGCACCGGCUAACUCCGUGCCAGCCGCCGCGGUAAUAC
rnacentral:rRNA from 1 species